CGUAAAAGAAACCUGCCUCAUAGACUGGGACAACUAUUGGAAACGAUAGCUAAUACCGGAUAACAGUAUUUCUCGCAUGAGAGAUAUUUAAAAGUUGGUUAUGCUAACACUAUGAGAUGGCUUUGCGGUGCAUUAGCUAGUUGGUGGGGUAAAGGCCUACCAAGGCGACGAUGCAUAGCCGACCUGAGAGGGUGAUCGGCCACACUGGGACUGAGACACGGCCCAG
rnacentral:rRNA from 1 species